UUUGCGUUCACCAUCCGGACCGCGGACUUGGUUGUGGUAGUGCGAGAACUAUCAGUAAUCUUUAUUUUCAUAUAAACAAAACAGGAAAACAGAGUAGACAGACAUCAGUCAGUCCAGCAGAGCAGAUCCGAUCGGGCUCAGGUUUUUUUUCUGCAACUCGUCGGUCGGUCGGGUCGUCGGAUCAAAAAGACAAGGAAAAAAUCAACCUGCGUACGGAUCAAACCGACAGUGUGAUGAGUCCGUGGCCGUCGUCAGACAUCGGGAGGAGACCGUCGCGAGCGGACAAGUGAAUUUUCUCCACGCACGCAGCAGAAACCAAAGUGUAGCAAAUAUUAGGGGUGGUGUUCCGCGGAGGAUCAAUCAAUCUUCGCAGGAGAAAACGUCGUCAAGGAUUGAUCUUAGGGGAAACACAAAGGAGUGCACUCGAGUGUUCCAGUGUUUAGUGCUGUGUUGUGUUUUUGCGCUCGAAGAGAAAUUCAGUGAACCAUCAAUUUUCGAAAGUGCACCGUAGAGUAAACAAACGAAACACGAAAAUAUUGUGUUUGGGAAAAAGUUAACAAAAGCAUGAGUGAAAUGUCUUGCAAGGGCAGUCCGACGUCGAGCGCUAGCGCUCGGAUAAGCUUGGUCACCGACGAGAGCCAUUUCAGCUUGGCCAGCUUGAACUCUUCCGUCAGCCAGGAUGAGUUCUUCCGCUGCAGGGAGCACUCCGAUCUGGUGCUGAAAAGGAUGCAAGAAUAUCUUCAGAACGAGAAGCUGUGCGACGUGGUCUUGAUCGCAGGAUUAGAUGGCAAGCGCAUUCCAGCCCAUCGUUUGGUACUAUCGGCAUCCUCGGCCUAUUUCAGCGCAAUGUUCACCGGACAUCUACGGGAGAGUCAACAGGAAGAAAUCACCCUACAGGAAGUGUCAGGUGAAGCGCUGCAGCUGCUCAUCCAGUAUUGCUACACAGGCACCAUAGAACUUCGGGAAGACACAGUCGAAACUCUGCUCGCAACCGCCUGUCUACUUCAGCUCAGUACAAUCGUCAAUGCGUGCUGCACAUUUCUGGCCCGCCAGCUGCACCCGUCCAACUGCUUGGGAUUCUCGCUGUUUGCCGAACAGCAGGGAUGUACCGCACUACUCAAAAUUGCAUCGGCCUACACCUGUCAGCACUUCAUGCAGGUGUGGAAGAAUCAGGAAUUCUUCCAGCUGGAUUCAAUGCAACUUUCAACGCUGCUGAAAAGCGACGACCUGAAUGUUCCUAACGAGCAAGAAGUGUUCCACGCACUGAUGGCCUGGAUUCAGUUCGAGCCGGAAACCCGAAAGCAGUACAUACCGGAACUGUUGGCACUGAUACGGCUGCCACUUCUGCAACCAUCGUUCAUAGUCGAUCACGUGGAAGCUCUCUGCGGUGCUAACGAGUGCCAACAGUUGGUGAUGGAGGCGUUCAAAUGGCAUCUCAUACCCGGAAGAAGAUCGCAAAUAUCAACGCAACGAACCCGACCGAGGAAGUCAACCAUCGGUAAACUGCUCGCCGUAGGGGGAAUGGACGGCCACAAAGGGGCCAUUAGCAUAGAAAGCUACGAGCCGCGCUUGGACAAGUGGACUUUAUUGAAGAAUAUGCCUGCCAGACGACUCCAGUUCGGCGUUGCCGUAAUGGAUGAUAAGCUGAUCAUUGUGGGCGGCAGGGAUGGUCUGAAGACGCUGAACACCGUGGAGUGUUUCGACCUGACAACGAUGACCUGGGGCUCGAUCGUGCCACCAAUGGGUACUCCUAGACACGGUCUAGGAGUUGCAUUCCUAGAAGGGCCGCUGUACGCGGUCGGUGGUCACGACGGGUGGAGUUAUCUCGCUACCGUCGAACGAUGGGAUCCUGCUGCCCGCACGUGGAGCUACGUAGCGCCAAUGUCCUCUAUGCGAUCCACUGCCGGAGUUGCGGUUCUGAAUUCUAGAUUGUUUGUGAUUGGAGGCAGAGAUGGUAGCGUUUGCCAUCGGACAGUCGAAUGUUACGAUCCGCAUACGAAUAAGUGGACCCUGCGUGCUCCGAUGAACAAGCGUAGAGGAGGGGUAGGGGUUGGUGUCCUGAACGGGUAUCUGUAUGCUUUGGGUGGACAUGACUGCCCUGCCAGUAAUCCAGCUGUCUGCCGAACCGAAACAGUGGAAAGAUACGAUCCCACCACGGAUACUUGGACUCUGAUCGCUUCGCUCAGUGUUGGACGCGAUGCCAUCGGAGUAAGUGUACUCGGUGAUUGGCUUAUCGCCGUUGGUGGCUACGAUGGAAACCAGUAUUUGAAGACAGUUGAACAGUACGACACGGAAAGCAACGAAUGGCAACAGAUCGCGCCUGUCAAUUACAGUCGGGCCGGGGCCUGCGUGGUGGCAAUUCCUAACAACUUUUCGCCCGCCAGUGGGACCAGUGCAGUCGCAACUAGUGGCCCUUCAGUGGCCUCGAUAGCUGGAGCAUUGGUGUCAUCAUCCUCCUCGACGAAUACUACGGUUUAGUACAAGAGUUCCACUUCAGCACUGAUUUCUAGUGAUGCUUCUCUAUUCCUAAGGGCGUCCAUCAUCAAUCGGACGCUACAAAUAAUACAGCAUCUCGCGUGUUCGUGUGUUUACUACUAUCCCUUUUACUGUUAAGUAUUGUUAGUGUCUGAUCGAAGAACAAAGUUGCUACAAGGCGCAACUGACAGGAUACCAUCCAUCAGGCAAACAAUCUGAAAUGUUCAGGCCUACGAAUGCAAAAUCAAACGAAACUAUAUAUUUUUCAUACAGUAGUGAUAACCCCGUUAUACACACAAAAUACCGGCACAUGCCGUGCCCUGUAAGACAUGGAAACCGCACAAUCACCAAUCUCUGUCCGUAAUAGCAUGCACAAGCACCACUAUCUAACACCAUAGAAUGAAAGUUCUUUUACCCAAAAAACAAACGCUCUAAUCGAAUGCCGCUACAUAUAGUGUUCUAGUGUAACAGGGGAGCGGGUUCCUCUCGUAGCGGCAACUAUUACUAUAGGCGACAGUUUAGGAUCUUUGAUUAUUACGUUUAGAACGCAAAGCUGCCCAUCCAAGUGAAGAUAUCGAACUACACACACACACCCACGUUACUGUACUGAUAAUGCGAUAGGUUAGGUCAGAACCCAAAUCGAAUCCUACAUCCAUACCGCAAUGAAGACGAUUUUCUUUCCUGUGAUUAUUUUUUAUUAUACUUUAGAAACUAGGUCCACAUUUAUCCACAUUUAUACAAACCCGCCAAACAGGCUUUCCAGUGAAACGCAAGCCAACCCUCGCGAUUCGCGAUCCCCACCGGAAGUGGUACGAUACGAACUCGUUUCCUCCCGCCCUUCUGAGAUUAGUUAGCAAGUUUGACGAUGUGAUUCGAGAUGGUCUUUCGCCCAUGCCCAAAGAUUCGUAGCCAAAAUAAGACAAACGAAGGGAGAGACACGAAAUUGAGGGGAAAUCACGGAUCCGGUGGGAAAUCGCCUCGAGGAUACAUCUAAGUUACUUUAUCUGUGAUCGGCUAAAUCAAUUAAAACUAAAAAUGUAUGUACUUCGUAGCCCCGAGGAGGCAGGGACGUUAGGUACUUUUGAUCAGUUUGAUUUUCUCUCGAUGUAUACUCCUGAGUGGCUGUUAGGUUAAGAAUCAUAGAGGUGAGUUGUGAGCAAAUUUCCGCCUAAACAGGAAAACGCUUCCGUGUGUGACAGAUCUUUUACUGUGUUAAGCAAAUUACAUUCUAAGUAGGAAACUGACGAGCAUUUAAGCUUGUAGAGCAAAAACGAAAGACGAGUGUAGAUAGGCACGUAAGAAACGCUUGAAAAUAGUGAAAAAAAGGCACCCAUGUAAAAACCAGUCGUAAAUCUGAUGUCAGGCUAUAGCACAAGAGAAAGUGGUACUAAUUUUGAUACUAUUUAUACUCAAUACUAUUACACUGAAGAUCAAUUAAUAAAUCAUAUUUUAGUACUAAA